rnacentral:lncRNA from 1 species
AUAUAUUUUGUUGAUAGCUCAAGAACAUUAUCAUAAAUUUACUUAAGAUACAGAACAAAAUUCACAGUUAGGCUUGACAUUUAGUACUAUAAAAUUUUAUGUUGGAUCCACUGAUACGUUUGUUAAUAAGGUGCACUUGAAAUAAUUGAUUCAGCCUACCAAUGAGCUGAUAUUUUAUCGUAUAACCAGGAUCUAUUGGUUUUACAAUAUAUCUAGUAAUCAAUUAUUUCACCAAUAAUUCAAGAAACAGAGAUCUACUUGAAAAUACCAUUGAUAGAUACCCUUAACAGGAUAAUUAAAAUAAAAAGCACUAGCAGCUUUGAUUUCCAUUUCCAUGAAUGCGUACAAGAUAAACCUGUAUUUUACAGUUAAAAUUUGUACAAAACGUCAAGCCCUGAAGUAGUUUUUCCCCCAAAAGUUCUGAUGUUAAAACUUUAAAAAAAAAGAGAGAGAGGUAGUGUGUAAGAAUAUUUUUACUUAAAUGUUGAACCCCUGCACCACUUAUAUUAUAAAUGAAAGUUAACCUUCUACAUACUAACAUUAUUUUGCCAUUCAAGAGUCAAAUUUAUAAGACUCACAGAAUGUUAAAGCCGGAAUGCCAUUAAAAAUAGUAUAUAAAUGGAAGAACUUCGGUGAAUUCAACAAAAAGUACAACGUAUUACAUAAUGUGCAGUCAGUUAAUAGUUUACUGAUAAUAUGCUUAGUGGUAAUGUGAACAAAAUACAUUGAAGUAUUCUGAGUCAAGUGAUCUUCACGUAAUCAAGACUUCUUCAUAUAUACUUUACCAUAUAGAGAAAACAUCCUUCAAAACGGAGUCAUUUGAAUCUUCAUUGUUGUAAUAGCACACAAUUGUUAAAAAGGUAUUCAUACUAGCCCUACCAUAAAGUUAAUUAAUAAAUAACUCUCCAUAAGCCAUAGGGAACUUAUGUACUUCAUAGUAUUUUUAGUUUCUAUAUACAAGCAUACCAUUGUGCUUGUGCACAUUGUACAAUAAAAUCAGGCAAGGAAUUAAAGUUAGCAGCCUUACUCUUAGCUUGUUCUAAGUGGAUGCACUGGAAAGUAAUAAAUAGCCUCAUAAAAUUAAUAGUGAUAAACUCUACCUGUCACAGGUGAAUACUAUGUAGUUUUCAUAAAGUGUAGGCAGUGUUUCUAGAAAUCCCAUGAAGGAAAACCCAAUUUUUUUUUUUGGCAUAAAAAGUGCACAAGUUUGUCCUAUGUGUUAAAACAUCUUAAUUUGGAUGUAUUUUUUAUCCAAAAUGAUGCAUACUUGGAUGCAUUAAAAGCACACCAACAAAAAUACACACACUAACAAUAAAAGGAAUGAUUUCAAAUGAGACUGGGAAUGGGAACAAGAAUAGGUUAAAGGAGAGACUUCCAUAUUUCCAAAGUCAAGAGAAUUGCCUUUAAAACAUAAAUUAUAUAGCCAUACAGAAUUAAUUUGCAAAUAUGAAAGCUAUAGGAAGGACAAACACCAAUUUGAACAACUGUUGCAAAGUUUCAUAACUCAAGAAAAGAUAGCUUCCUGGCUGGGCGCUCAUGCCUGCAAUCCAGCACUUUGGGAGGAGAUGGGCGGAUCACUUGAGGUCAGGAGUUUGAGACCCACCUGACCAACAUGGUGAAACUCCAUCUCUACUAAAAAUACAAAAAAAUAAGCCAGAUGUGUUGGCGCACGCCUGUAAUCUUAGCUACUCAGGACGCUGAGGCAGGAGAAUUGCUUGAACCUGGGAGGCGGAGUUUGCGGUGAGCCGAGAUCUCACCAUUGCACUCUAGCCUGGGCAACAAGAGUGAAACCCCGUCUCUAAAAUAAAUAAAUAAAUAAAUAAAUAAAUAAAUAAAUAAAUAAUAAAAAAAGUCAUUUUAAAUCUGAAUAGGUUCUCAAAAUUGUUCUUAAAAAAAAAAGUACUAACUUAUCCUUCCACCCACAGUGCUGCUCUUGGGAGCAGAAUUCUGAAGAGAAAGGCAAAAUUCAAGGGAAAGAGUUUGCCUUCAAGUUUUAACAUAGCCUAUGUUAACAUAGGCUAUGUUAAAACUUGAAGAAGGAAGACCAAUAAAUAGCACUGUAGCAAGAGGAGAAACUAAACCUACCAAUGGUCUGUGAGCUCUCAUACAUUUAACCCUCCUAAAGUACAGUCUUGAAUAACAGACAACAUCAAAGGGCAGCUGUGCUUUUCUCAGAAUAAAACAGCUGAGCUAAACAACCAAAACCAAACAGCUGUACUGCCUUUGGAUUUAGUGUUGCAUUAAAAUUAGAUGUUUUCUUUCCCCAGCCUUUUUUUUUUUCUUGGUGGAAGAAGCAAUUGAAGAGUUUUAUUUCAGACAUAAAUGUUAUGUUCAAAUCAUUUGCACACAGCCCACAGUAAAAUGUUAGUUAUUAUGGAAAUCUGACUGAUGGCAUUGUCACUUACAAGGAGAGACCCUCUCAAUUGUUUUCAUUAUUCAAUACUACUUAAUUAUUUAGAAUUUGCCUGUGUACAGUGAACGUCAUUGAUGUUGUAGAUGUGAAAGUUGAUUAAAACAUCUUAAACUUGAUUUUUAUUUUAUUUAUUUUAUUUUAUUAUUAUUUUUUAGAUGAGUUUUACUCUUGUUGCCCAGGCUAGAGUGUAAUGGUGCAAUCUCUGCUCACUGCAACCUCUGCCUCCCGGGUUCAAGCGACUCUCCUGCCUCAGCCUCCUGAGUAGCUAAGAUUACAGGCGCACACCACCACGCCCGGCUAAUUUUUGUAGUUUUAGUAGAGACGGGGUUUCUCCAUGUUGGUCAGGCUGGUCUCGAACUCCCGACAUCAAGUGAUUUGUCCGCCUUGGCCUCCCAAAGUGCUGGGAUUACAGGCAUGAGCCGCUGCAUCUGGCCACAAGUUUAAUUUUUUCAGUUUUUUUUACUUGUUUCAUUUUGUUCUGUACUGGGUAGCAAGGGAACGUUUUUAAACAAGGACAAUUAAUGUUGGAUUACUAUGUUAGGUUUACAGGAAGGGCCAGAGUCAGGGAAACCAGGAGCCUAUUGAAAAACAUGAGAGAGCUGGGUGUGGUGAGAGGCCCAGGCUGGUUGGCUGAUCCCUUGGCAUUUUGGGAGGCCCAAGCUGGCGGAUCCCUUGAGAUCGACUGGAGCAGCAAGAGGAAACCAUCUCCACCAAAAGGAAAAAAAAUAAAAGGGGGAAAGGUGAUAAAGACAUGAAUUGGGCCGGGCGACGUGGCUCACGUCUGUAAUCNNNNNNNNNNCCAAAGUGCUGGGAUUACAGGCAUGAGCCACCACACCUGGCCAUAACCUCAUCUUAACUUGAUUAAAUCUGCAACAACUCUUUUUCCAAAUAAGACACUGUCACAUUCACAGGUGCUAGGGGGUAGGACAGCAACAUUUUCUUUUCCCAGGGGGAAAACAAUUCAACCCAUAGCAGAUACCCAGUCCACCUUGUUGUAGAAUUCUUUUUUUGUCCAUUUGUUUUAGAGACAGGGUCUCACUUUGUCACCCAGGCCGGAGUGCAGUGACAUGAUCAUAGCUCACUGAAGCCUCAAACUCCUGGGUUCAAGGGGUCCUUCUGCAUCAGCCUGCCGAGCAGCUGGGACUACAGGUGUGCACCACCACACUCAGCUAAUUUUUAUUUUUAUUUUUUGCGGAAACAGGGUUUCACUAUGUUGCCCAAACUGGUCUCGAACUCCUGGGCUCAAGUAAUCCUCCUGCCUUGGCCUUCAAAAGCACUGGGAUUACAGGCAUGAGCCACUGUGCCAGCCAGAAUCCAAUGUUUAAUAAUUCUUUCCUUGAGGCAAAUUCCUAGAAGAUUUUGCUCAACAGCAGUAACUGGGAUAAUAAUAUAAGUAACUGGGACAAAAUUUUACAGCUGUAGGGGACCACUUUGUUCAAACUCUGAAUUGUGCUAUUGAUGAAAUUGAGGACUACAAAAUUUAAGUGUGUGACCCGAGGUCACACAUCAAGUUUGAGGCCAAGCGGACGGGAGGGCUUAGAUCUCCAUCUCCCUGAUUCUCAAUCCAGAGCGCUCUUCAAUAAACUAAUGAAUCAGUACAUUUUAUAGAGCUUUCCCCUUCAAAGGGUUCUCAGAGAACAUUUCAUCUUUUCCUCCCAACAACGUUGUAAUAAGAGAAUUGAUUUGCUUCCAUUAAGAGUAGCUCUGCAUACAGCAUACAUCCUUCUUGCAAACCAAUCUGGUUUUAUUUAUUUAUUUACCAAUCUGGUUUUAAUUCCAUAAAUGCUCUGUCUCCUUUCUUGUGUGUUUAUGUUUAUUUCUCCGUACCUUUGUAUUCUGUUCAGGGUUAGCAAAGUUCAGGAUUUGUUUUCCACUCAUGGAUGGUUUGGUUUCUGAUAACAACUCUUUCUUCUCCAAAUUAUCCUCAUAGUUCCUGAAACAACACACCCUAAAGCUAUUACCCGCGUGCCUAUCGUUGGUAGUUGUUACCUUUAUUACUUUCGAACCUUCUACUUCCAUUUUUGUUUCUAUGCUCAUCUAUCUAUCCCUGAGAGUUAUUGCUCUGCCACUGCUCUGCCAUGAGGGAUGUGAAAAGAAUACAGGUUUUGGGUCAUACAUAUGUGGGUUUGAACCUGGCUCUGUCACUUACUGACCACAUGACCACUGUGUUCUUAUAGGUACGAAAUGAAACAAAACAAAACAACAGAAGAUAUGUAACAUUUGUAAAAAGGGUGUCCUGAUGCUUAUAUAGGAUGACAAAGAUUUAGUACUUGGUACAUAGUAGGUGUAUUAGUCCAUUUUCUUACUGCUAUGAAGAAAUACUCAAGAUUGGGUAAUUUAUAAAGAAAAAGAAGUUUAAUGGACUCACAGUUCCACAUGGCUGGGGAGGCCUCACAAUCAUGGCAGAAGGAGGAGCAAAGGCAUGUCUUACAUGGUGGCAGACAAGAGUGUGAACAGGGCAACUGCCCUUUAUAAAACCAAUUGACCUUUAUAAAACCAAAUAAGUCAUGAGACUUAUUCACUAUCACAGGAACAGCAUGAGAAAAACUUACCCCCAUGAUUCAGU